AUGGGAGAACUAACCAACAAGAGGAAACCAACAAAGGUGACGAACGAGCCCGGAGAAGAGAGGCGACGAAAAAACAGGAACACAAAGUGCAUUCCAUUAACUUACACGAACUGUACAUACGCCAGCAACAAAGAAAUCCUUGGGAGGAGGGGACCAAACCUGUAUCUUAUCUUGCCUCUUCUCUUUCCUCCUUUUCAAGUGCUCCCAGAGUCUGUGUUGCAGACGUUGAUGCCUCAUCUGCUUCCCUUCCCUGAUUGUCGAGAACCACUUGCAUAUGGGUACAAAAGGAGUCAAGGUUUGGAAGAAGCACUUUGCUCCAACUGCAGAAAACAAGGACACCAUUCAGAUAAAGACUGCCUGGCCUGCCAUACUGCCCCACCAAUGAUCCCUCCCAAAGCUGUUAAAAGCUUAAACACCUCUUUUUGCAAGGUCUCUGAUAUGGAUACAACUGAAGAACUGCUCAGCAAGAAACACAAGAAGACCAAGAUUGGAGGCGCCAGCAUGGAGGGAGCCAGGAAUGCAAGGGAGCAGAACAAGAAACCAAUGUCUCAAGAAGCAUUUGUUCAAUUUAAUGAUCUGCAAGAGCUGCUCAGCAACAGAGAGGUAUCAAAAGGAAAGGACAACUGGUACUACACAUGGUCAGCACCUACAUGCUCCUCCAUUAAGAUGUACAAAUCCAUUCAAGGGAAGCAGUCAGCUCAUAACACAUUCAAGCUACUGUGGAAAACAUCUUGCCGACUAAGACAUAAGAUCUUCUUCUGGCUUCUUUUACAUGACAAGAUUGUGGUGGCUCCCGAAGAUCCCCCACUACGCGUCCAUCAUUUCCUUUUUUCACACCUAACUCGGGCUCGAACCGGCUCUCGCUGUCGGGUCAUAGCAGGCGCGCUCGUGUCUGUCUCCUCCUUCUCCUACCCAACCAACCUAGCAGACAGCAACGAAAGCCGGUUCCGGUGGAUCCUCGCCGCCGGCGCCGCAGCUAGCAAGCUGAGCGGAGCUGGAUCCGGCGCGGGAGCAGGAACCGCGCGCGCGCCGGGGCUGUCUCCAGGGAGAAGAAAUAGCCUGCCUUUUUCUCCGCUGAUUCGUUGGGACCCGGCUGCGACUGCGAGAGCCGCCGGCAGAUCUGGAGCCUCGGUGGGUGCGGGCGCCAUUAGAUCCGCUUCUCCCCGCGCGCGCUGCUGCUACUCCUACUACCAUUAA
rnacentral:rRNA from 1 species